rnacentral:rRNA from 1 species
GACGAACGCUGGCGGCGUGCUUAACACAUGCAAGUCGAACGGAAAGGCCCUGCUUUUGUGGGGUGCUCGAGUGGCGAACGGGUGAGUAACACGUGAGUAACCUGCCCUUGACUUUGGGAUAACUUCAGGCAACUGGGGCCAAUACCGGAUAGGAGCUCCUGCUGCAUGGUGGGGGUUGGAAAGUUUCGGCGGUUGGGGAUGGACUCGCGGCUUAUCAGCUUGUUGGUGGGGUAGUGGCUUACCAAGGCUUUGACGGGUAGCCGGCCUGAGAGGGUGACCGGCCACAUUGGGACUGAGAUACGGCCCAGACUCCUACGGGAGGCAGCAGUGGAGAAUAUUGCACAAUGGGCGGAAGCCUGAUGCAGCAACGCCGCGUGCGGGAUGACGGCCUUCGGGUUGUAAACCGCUGUCGCCUGUGACGAAGCGUGAGUGACGGUAAUGGGUAAAGAAGCACCGGCUAACUACGUG